ACACCGGCUCUUUUAAGAGCCACUACUUUUACAAAAAAGAAUAUUG
rnacentral:ncRNA from 1 species